GUUUCUCUGGUGAGACGCCUCCUUGGGGGCCCUGAAGCCAGGGUGAAGAGGCUGCUCUCCAGCCCGGCUGCUGGCAGCUGGUUUCCCUGCUCUCCCACUGAUUGGUGAUGUUCUCAUCUGUUAAAUCGGAAGAAGAGCAUUUGCUUCAUAGGAUCUCUGGGAAGAUUCAAAGAGACAAUGCAGGGACCACUAAGGCCAAGAGACCUCAAGCCACAUACCCAGUGGAAGAGCCAGGAUGCAUAUUCACAGGCUGGCCCCAGAGUCUGUGUUCUUA